GGGGAUGUAGCUCAGCGGGAGAGCAGCGCCUUUGCAAGGCGAANNAGGCCACGGGUUCGAUCCCCGUCAUCUCCA
rnacentral:tRNA from 1 species